AGAGGAAGUGUAUGAGAGGAACUGGGAGCAAGAAGCUGAGUGAGAGAGAAAGUUCAGUUCCUGACCCAAACUUGAAACCAAAAUCCUACAUGUGGGGGAGCCCCUCCACAGAGUCCUCAGUGAUUCCUACACCUGGAAGAAUCACCAGUUCAUGCUUCCAGUUGUGCUGGGUCUUCAAGACAUCCAACAAUCCAUAAACAAUCAGAUCAUGCAGCACAUCCUAGUUCCUAGGAGUGCUCAGUCUCUGUAGGAUUGACAGCUAUAGGAAUUACCAUGCGAUUCAAGGAAUCAACUCCAGAUCCCUCAAGGCAGGGGAUUUGGGUGGAGGGCAGCUUGAGGCCCUGAUCUUCUUACCAUUAAGAAGCCAGAAGCAAAAAUGUAGUGAAGGGUUACAACAGUUCAAGUCACUGGAACAGCUGUGCCUCAAGUCUUCUGAGUAGAAGUGGAGAAGUAAAGCCCUGGCUCUGUUGAAGUAAAUGAGUCUUGCCUUUCACUUCUAAAGACCAGAUAAGCAGCUGCUCACUGAACGGACACCCCCCAUGCCGCCUCUCUUCAAACAAACAUUAUCUGUGGGCGUUCCAAAGGGAGCCCCCAUGCCUGCCUCUACUCAUUCAAAGCAAACAGUAGCUACGUUUGUUUUUUUUUAUAAGCUGCUCCCGGAGCUUCUGGAGUUCACAACAAAACAAAGAGGAAUCACAACAAAACAAGGAGAGAAACAAGAGAGGAAGCUUCACUUAAAAGGAUUAUGGGGAGUUUCCAGAGGUCAAUCACUGCAUAACAAGGUUACUCCCCAUUUACACUGGAGCACCAGCAUCUCAGCCACUCCGCAACAGCUGUUAAUCCUCUCGAGGAGGUGGAGUACGUGCAGUGCUGUAGCCACGGAGAUACAGCGCUGUACAUGCCUUGCCAGUGUGGGUGGGGAGUGAGUUACAGCACUGUGGGCGGCUUUAUUGCGCUGUAACUCAAGUGUAGCCAAGGUCUAAGGCUAAAACCCUGGCCCCACUGAAUUCCUCGCUCUUCUUUUAUUUAUGCCAGCUUUCAUGCUUACCAAACAGAACCUACACUGAAAGUAGGCAAUUGGGAGGUGUGAUUGAAGAUCAAAUCUAGCUCAGGCAACAAUAGCAAUGAAGCUCCAGCAGCAUGGUUAACUACAGGGACUAGGCUCACCUGCCCACCCCCCAGGACCCUGGGUACGUAUGCAAGCAGCUACCA